UACAGAGGGUGCGAGCGUUAAUCGGAAUUACUGGGCGUAAAGCGCGCGUAGGCGGCUUUGCAAGCCGGAUGUGAAAUCCCCGGGCUUAACCUGGGAACUGCAUUCGGGACUGCAUUGCUAGAGUAUGGGAGAGGGAAGUGGAAUUUCAGGUGUAGCGGUGAAAUGCGUAGAUAUCUGAAGGAACAUCAGUGGCGAAAGCGACUUCCUGGACCAAUACUGACGCUCAUGUGCGAAAGCGUGGGGA
rnacentral:rRNA from 1 species